rnacentral:rRNA from 1 species
AUGCGGCGUCCAGGGCCGGUCCUCUGCGCGGCGCUGGCCGUCGCGCUCCUGGCCCCGCUUCCGCCCGCGGCGAUCGCGGCAGAUUGUCCGUUGGAUUUCAGUUGGCCAAACUUUGCGCUGAUAGCUUCUGUAUGCUCGGAUCAGAAUGGCCACUCAAAGUGUUGCCGCUAUAUCAAUGCCGUCCUCGCGGUCUCUUCUGCAAUGUAUGCGAACACAACAGGCACUCUUGGGGUUCCAUCUGAACUUGCCGAUGCCUGUAUUAGCAAUAUCUCAGACACCUUCGUGUCCAAUGGGAUACUUCCUACUGCAGCUUCGUUUUGUGGCCUCGGGAUCAAGAUUCAGGCGUCCUAUCAGUGCGUUGGGAUGACUACUAUCCUCCAAAUGUUACAGUCUCCGAAUUUCAGUGAUGUGACUAGAAAUUGUGCAACCUCACUUCCAGAUGACGUCAGCUGCAAGAGAUGCUUAAAUUCUGGUUUGUCAUACCUCCGCCAUCUUGUGGGGGAACAAGAUAAUGUCACAUUGAAUACCUGCCGUGACGCUGCCUUUGUUGCUUUUGUGAGUCAAGGGAACAUAUCUACUCUUGAUACGGCGGGUUGCUUUUUCAGCGUUCAGGGGCUGAGUGCUCUUCAAGUGAACAUCUCGACAUCAUCCCCAGCUGGAUAUCCUGCACCAAAUAUUUCUCCCAGUCCAUUUGCAUCGCAAAUUCCUGGGGAACAUGUUGCUGAAGUGCCAUCCAACCAUCAUCGUAGUUACAAGCGUGUACUAUUCCCUGCUAUCGGGGCCUUGGUUACAGGAUUAUCAGUUACACUACUGGUAGUACUGAUUUUACUUAUCCGGAGAAAGUGCAAAGAACUAGAAAAGAUUGAGGGAAUUAACCCUUUGAAAGUGUUGAGUUCCUGUGUCACGAAGGGCCAAGAAGGUACUUCCACCAUUUUUGGCAGAUUUAGUUAUGCAGAAAUGAGAAGGGCAACAAGAAACUUUAGCACCACGCUGGGAGGGAAUGAUAAUGCAACAAUAUUCAAAGGACAACUGAGCAAUGGUUCUGUGGUUGCCAUUAAGCGCAUAGAGAGCUCACCAAAACAAGAUCAGCUGGCAUUCUGCAAAGAAAUGGAAUUUCUUGGGCGUCUGCAUCAUCGACAUCUUGUUGGACUUAAAGGAUAUUGUUUAACAAAAUUUGAGAGGUUCCAGGUUUAUGAAUACAUGGAAAAUGGAAGCCUUAAGGAUCACCUUCAUUCGUCAGGUAAACUUCUGCUGCCGUGGAAAAAUAGGAUCCAAAUCGCUAUUGAUGUUGCGAAUGCUUUGGAGUACCUUCAUUUCUAUUGUGAUCCUCCAUUGUACCAUGGAGACAUAAAGCCUAGCAAUGUCCUCCUGGACAAGAAUUAUCUCGCAAAGCUUGCUGGGUGUGGCUGCUCAAAUGGUGGCAAUACCAUCGUCAGUUCCACCCCAGGGACUGUCAAGAUCCAGGCAACUCCUGUACCGUGCGUAUAUCUCCGUGCAGGGUACGUAGACCCCGAUUACGUGGUGACCCAGGAGCUGACGGCCAAGAGCGACGUGUACAGCUACGGCGUGCUGCUGCUGGAGCUCGUCACCGGGAGGCCCGUGGUGCAGGACGACCGGAGCCUCGUGGAGUGGUCCCGCGAGCUCAUCGGCACCGACUACCGCCUCCACGAGCUGGUGGACCCGGCGGUGGCGGACACGUUCGACCUGGACGAGCUGCAGGUGAUGGCGGACGUGAUCCACUGGUGCACCCACAAGGACGGCGGGGCGCGGCCGUCGAUGAAGCAGGUCCUCCGGAUCCUCUACGAGCGGCUGGACCCGCUGUCCGGCGGGUUCGCGCGCGCCGUGGAGGUCGAGCAGGGGUACUACUACGGCGGGCAGAGCGGGAGGAAGGCGAAAGAGUGGCAGCAGCGGCCGCGGGAUGGCGGCGGAGACGUGAUCCAGUUCAGCGGCGAGCCAAGGUGCCUGCCGUCGUCGUCCAGCACGUCCAGGUCCCACUGCAGCCGCACCGUGCCGCUGGAGGGCAACUCGCCGGAGCCCCAGUCGCCAGCCCACGCCGACCGCGGCGGGUUCUUCGCCUGA